CUCCUUACCUAGCAGGGAAGAGACCUUGACCAUGAAGGGGAUUUUCCCAGGGUGAGGCUCACCCUUUGCGCUCCAGAUGUGCUGACCCCUGCGAUUUCCCUAAACGUGGGAAACUCGACUGCGUAAUUUGUGGUAGUGGGGGGCUGCUUUCACACUCUUCCCUU
rnacentral:snRNA from 1 species